rnacentral:rRNA from 1 species
CGGCAGGCCUAACACAUGCAAGUCGAGCGGCAGCGGGAAAGUAGCUUGCUACUUUUGCCGGCGAGCGGCGGACGGGUGAGUAAUGCCUGGGGAUCUGCCCAGUCGAGGGGGAUAACAGUUGGAAACGACUGCUAAUACCGCAUACGCCCUACGGGGGAAAGGAGGGGACCUUCGGGCCUUUCGCGAUUGGAUGAACCCAGGUGGGAUUAGCUAGUUGGUGGGGUAAUGGCUCACCAAGGCGACGAUCCCUAGCUGGUCUGAGAGGAUGAUCAGCCACACUGGAACUGAGACACGGUCCAGACUCCUACGGGAGG